rnacentral:rRNA from 1 species
AUUGAACGCUAGCGGCAGGCCUAACACAUGCAAGUCGAACGAGCGUCGCACGCGUGUGUAUUGUCUGGCAAACCGCCCGAUGGAGGGGGGUAACUACUGGAAACGGUAGCUCAUACCGCAUACCAUCAGAUGUGCCCAGAUGUGAUUAGCUGGUAGGUGGGGUAAAGGCCCACCCAGGCGACGGUCCCUAGCUGGUCUGAGAGGAUGACCAGCCACACUGGCACUGAGACACGGUCCAGACUCCUACGGGAGGCAGCAGUGGGGCAUAUUGCACAAUGGGCGCAAGCCUGAUGCAGCCAUGCCGAGUGUGUGAAGAAGGCCUUCGGGUUGUAAAGCACUUCCAGCGGGGAGGCGUUACCCGCAGAAGAAGCACCGGCUAACUCCGUGCCAGCAGCCGCGGUAAUUC